rnacentral:rRNA from 1 species
AACGAACGCUGGCGGCAUGCCUAACACAUGCAAGUCGAGCGCCCGUAGCAAUACGGGAGCGGCGCACGGGUGAGUAGCGCGUGGGAACCUGCCCAGAGGUUCGGGACAACCGCGGGAAACUGCGGCUGAUACCGGAUGAUACCUGAGAGUCAAAGAUUUAUCGCCUUUGGAGGGGCCCGCGUCGGAUUAGGUAGUUGGUGAGGUAACGGCUCACCAAGCCUGUGAUCCGUAGCUGGUCUGAGAGGAUGAUCAGCCACACUGGGACUGAGACACGGCCCAGACUCCUACGGGAGGCAGCAGUGGGGAGUAUUGGACAAUGGGGGCAACCCUGAUCCAGCAAUGCCGCGUGGGUGAUGAAGGCCUUCGGGUUGUAAAGCUCUUUUACCCGGGAUGAUAAUGACAGUACCGGGAGAAUAAGCUCCGGCUAACUCCGUGCCAGCAGCCGCAGUAAUAC